CUGAUGGGCGACCUGAGAAAUGAUGAAAGGGAGAGUCUGAGGCUAAUCCAA
rnacentral:snoRNA from 1 species